CAUCAGUCAGCACAGCAAGGACAAGGUGUUGAUUUUGGCUCUGACAAUCUUGAUUCACCUGGUGUGUCAAACCAAGUGCUGAACAUGACUGCGAACAGCUCACCUGCUGUGGCAAACUAGGCUGAGAGACUAGAUGACUAUGGGAAUCUGUAUGUUCUUCGAACUGCUCACCAGUUGCUUCUGCUUAACGACCAAACUCAAAAGUCAUUGGAUGCACAUCAGCUUGCCAUUUAUUUAGAACUUGGCUACACUGCCACAUUCAUUGCGGAAUUGACUGGUGUUCACUUAAAGAAAGUAAGGAGAAUGAUGGAAUAAUAAUUUAAUUCAUAUUUUUUGUUUUCACAGGAUGAACCUGGUAGAGACGGAGGAGAUCCUGAUGAUUGGGACCAAACUGUUCAUACUAUUCCCGCUGUGGAUGUCGCUGCUUUUCGUUGUCCAUUGAAUGCUGAGCAGUUAUUCGAGAUGGAGAGGCGCAUCAGAAAAGAACAGAUUGAUCUCGAAAAUUUACACAUACAUUAAAUACCAGGAUGUGAAAAAUUAUGUUUUGAACUCAUUGGUUAACUGAGCCCUUUUUAUUUGCCUUUCUAACACUUCUCACUCUGCCAACUCAUUCCAAUACGUGUCGAAAAUUGGCUGUUGAUGUGUAGAUAUUGCCACUUGCUGGUUCAUGUGAAAGUCAAUAAAAAGCGUAACGAUAGGUCUUAACGUUA